AUGAGAAGAAAGUUUUGUUGUUAAGAAUAACACUGUUCUCGGCGUCUAUGGUUUGCUGCCUAUGGAAGAACUUUUAUCUCUUGAGAAGAACAAAAACCUUCAGAUGAGGAGUCCAAACAGGGCACAACCGCACAUUCAUACAAACCGUAUGUGAGUAUAUGGACAACUCUAUUUGAUCUGCAUGGUAAGGUGUUCUUUUUUUCAAAGCAUUCAGUACAAUGAUGACUGUUGCUGCAAAGUAGGCCUAUUGGUAGUCUAGAAUUUUCAAUCCUGUUUCCAACAACAGUACACAGGGAGAUAUUGAAAGGAACAACCUGAACCUAUUGUUCUAUCCCUUUGUAUAUAAGCUUAUUCUGUCUCCAAAACAUAACUUGCCUUCUGAAUAAUGUUUAUUGAAAUAUAUCUCUAUUGGAGGUACAAUUCAGACACUGAUUUAUAUUAUUGUUCUUUUCAAGAAGUAUUUAUAUUAUUGUAAGUUGUGGUUGUUGUUAAAUCUCAUGAUUUCAUAUUGUUUACGUUGUCAUGGAGCACUUUUGUGUUCAGGUGAAUAUAGCAGAUUAAGGCGUGAGGACAGUAACUGGAAUAGGACUUCAAUUGUUCACAGAAAUGCCUGCAAGCAGCACGCCCUUUUCCUCGGGUGUAUCUGACGCAGCUUCUGUUGCUCUCAUCGAAGACGACUAGGCAAACUGCAGCCUCCCAGAUGAAGCAAUUCCUGUGCCCAGUGCGGCAAUGGCCUCAAGGUCGCCGUCGAUGUGAGGCGCCACCAGCUUGGAGAGCCUGCAGAAGAGAGUCCAUGGUGGAGAUGUGACACAUUCCGAGGCAGCAUCAGCCUUGUCAAUGCCUGAAGCUACUGCUCUGGAACCAGCUUUGUAGUGCUGCCAAUAUAUGGCUUACUAAGGUUUUUGGUAAUGGUCUAAUGGAGUUUGUGGCAUCAGGAUGCAUAGUUUACCUUCAGUUCUGUCAUGCCCUUUUUUGUAUUAUCUAAUCACUAAUAUGACAUGGCACUAAUAAUCAACAAGUUAUAUACAGGAGGCGCGCCAUUGGCGCGCCCCAUCAUCUAGUUUGAUGAGAAGAUGGAGACAAGGAGAGCAAUUGAGAAUGCAAACAUCCCUCACACAUAUGUUUCUGCAAAUUGCUUUGCAGCUAAAUUCAGUCCUAACCUCUGUCAGAUGAAAACUCACCUCCCUCCCAAAGAGAGUUGGUGUGUACGGGGAUGGUAACGUCAAAGUGUUUUUUGUGUAUGAAGAUGAUGUGGGAACAUAUACAAUCAAAUCAAUCGAUGAUCCCCGCACCUUGAACAAGACAAUAUACAUAAGACCACAAGAUAACUGCCUCACUUAGAACGAGUUGAUCGCGAUGUGGGAAAAACUCUCUGGAAAAAGUCUUACCAAAUUCCAUAUACAGGGUGAUGAAUUUUUGGCUUCAAUGAAAGAUACGAAUUUUGCUCAUCAAGUGGGAGUAACACAUUUCUACCACAUUUUCUACGAAGGUUGCUUAACAAACUUCGACAUUGGUGACUAUGGAGCCGAAGCAACUCUGCUCUACCCAGAUGUUCAGUACACCCGCAUUAAUGAAUUCCUAAAACGCUAUCUGUAACGGAGUAUACAAAAAUUUUAUAAAUAUUUAUGUUGGUUUACGGUUUGGCAGCUUGCUUCGCUAAGUCAAAUUCUCUCUAGGUAUGAGAAUUCAAUAACACCAUGCUUGUUUGAAUAUAUGGUAUUUGUACUGUUCACAACCCAGCUCGAAUAUACUCUGUUUUACUAAUUACUAUCAAGUUGAUCAGGUACGUGGAAAGUUCAAAUGAGUUAA